AGGGAUGUAGCGCAGCUUGGUAGCACAUUUGUUUUGGGUACAAAGUGUCACGGGUUCAAAUCCUGUCAUCCCUA
rfam:Helianthus annuus linkage group 1, whole genome shotgun sequence.